rnacentral:rRNA from 1 species
GAUCCUGGCUCAGGAUGAACGCUAGCUACAGGCUUAACACAUGCAAGUCGAGGGGCAUCAGGAAGAAAGCUUGCUUUCUUUGCUGGCGACCGGCGCACGGGUGAGUAACACGUAUCCAACCUGCCCUUUACUCGGGGAUAGCCUUUCGAAAGAAAGAUUAAUACCCGAUGGGAUAAUGAUUCCGCAUGGUCUGAUUAUUAAAGGAUUCCGGUAAAGGAUGGGGAUGCGUUCCAUUAGGUUGCUGGUGAGG